UACAGAGGUCUCAAGCGUUGUUCGGAUUCAUUGGGCGUAAAGGGUGCGUAGGCGGCGCGGUAAGUCGGGUGUGAAAUCUUGGAGCUUAACUCCGAAACUGCAUUCGAUACUGCCGUGCUUGAGGACUGGAGAGGAGACUGGAAUUCCCGGUGUAGCGGUGAAAUGUGUAGAGAUCGGGAGGAACACCGGUGGCGAAGGCGGGUCUCUGGGCAACUCCUGACGCUGAGGCGCGAAAGCGUGGGGAGCAAACGGG
rnacentral:rRNA from 1 species